rnacentral:misc_RNA from 1 species
CUAGGUCGCAUAUACUAUACAUUCGUACAACUUUUUUCUUAACCUGUCAUUAUCAGAUACUGCGGCGUUAUCGACGCGAAAAAUAUCGGACUUGUUACCUCUAUUGAGCGUAUAGUUGAGUAUGUAUUCAUGCAAGCCUUAGCAUUCCCUAGUUUGGAAGGGGAUGAGGAUGAUGUAAGUUGCGGACUGAUAAAAGGACAGUUGUUACCGGGUUUGAGAUCAUUUUGCAGUGCUUUACGUGUUUGUGAGCAAGUUUGCGAUCAUGUUAAUAUAUUUGACGACAAAUGUGAUAUGUUCGAGAAGAUCGAACACGUCGAAGAGGUCAAGGAUAUGGCGAAAAAUCAAGACUUUUGUGUGCAACUGGAAGAGCGCGUAAAUAAUUGGAUAAAAGGUGUUAUGAAGAUACUUGGUGAAAGCGAACAAUUGCGCAAAGAAAACGAUUCAAGUGGACCACAGGAUGAGUUGGAGUAUUGGAAGAAGCGAGGUGCUCAAUUUUCGCAAUUGCUGGCACAUUUGCAAGAUCGUGAGGUGCAAUAUACAUUACAUUGCUUGUUUUUGUCUGGCUCCCGCAUUAUGCGAGUAUGGAAAGAAACCGAUCGAAAAAUAACAUUCUGUUACAACGAAGCACGUGAUAACUCAAAAUUCAUUCAGGCAAUGGAAACGUGUUGUCACUCUCUGUAUUUAGAUGAUCCGGUCUGCAUGAAACAGUCCAUACUAAGUCUACUUCAAACGGUGCGCCUUAUCUAUAGUGUUUCACAAUUUUAUAACACAUCCGAGAGAACCUCUUCCCUCAUGGUGAAGAUUACUAACCAAAUGAUUGAGACUUGCAAGUCCUACAUAACAUGUCGAUGUAAAGAGACUAUUUGGUCACAAGAUCGCAAUGUUAUACGUACAAAAUUAGGCAAUUGCAUUAAGCUUAAUCAUAUAUACCAUGAAACAUACUACACUGUAAGGGAGCAACCCUUUCUGCCUAAUCAAACUCCGUUUGGUUUUUCGGAAAAUUUCGUUUUUGGAAAAUUUGAUACAUUUUGCGACCGUCUUUCGAAAAUUAUUUCUAUGUUCAAUCUGAUCGAAGAUUAUACUCACCUAUUCGAACGUCGUUUGGAGGGUCUAUUGCUAGGUGAAACACUACAGGAUGCCAGCAAUCAUUUUGAGGAAGCUAAGAAAGAGAUUUUAUCGAAGAAAUAUGAUUACUUGGAUCAUCGAAAUGGCGAGUUCAAUAACGAUUUCGAACGUUUUAUAAACAAAACCGACGCACUAAAGGACACUAUAGCCAAACUUAUUGAAACGAAUUUUGACACGGUGUGGGAGACACCACAAUGCAUCCGAUUUCUUACCCGUUUUGAAAAGGUUAGUGAGAAGAUACCACUCAGUCGGAUGGAUGAAAAGUAUGUGCGCAUUAUAAAAUAUGUGGAUAAGGAAAUAGACAGGGUGAAUAAAAUGUUUAGGAAACAACGUGAUGAUCCGCCCGUUUGUAGAAAUUUCCCGCCAAUUGCCGGACGUAUCCGUUGGAGUCGCGCAUUGGAUGACCAUAUGAAAGAACUGAUGGAGGCCGUACUCGAUCAUAAGGUGCUGAGUGGAUUACCGUUAACAAAAGACUUAGAGAAUCGCUAUAAUAAUGUCACAACGUUAUUAAGAGAGUUCGAAAUCGAGAUUGUGUCCAUUUGGCUAGAUCAGGAUGUUAGCGUUGCCGAUGCGUGUCUACUACAGCCACUGUUAGCUCUUCAAGGUGAUCGCUUAAUCGUCAAUUUGCAUCCCACUAUACCCCUGCUGAUACGCGAAGCUAAGAUGUUGGCUAAGUUAAAUGUUGAAUUGCCAAUUGUGGCGGCCACACUGAUGAGCCGGCAAAAGUAUUUCACUACUAUACAGGACUCGUUGAAUUGCUUGAUCAAAAUGUUUUUGACAACCGUGCGCGCCGUCAAAUUGGAAGUGCGUCCUUUGUUUCUGCCACAAUUGGUGCGCCUAACAGCAAUGUUAAAGCCUGGCCUCCACACAAUAAAUUGGACUCAUCAAAAUUGGACGGAGUUCUAUGAACGUUGUAAACGGGCAAUCGAGACUUUUAAUGUACUCGUAGCACGUGUGCACGACAUCUACUCUAACCGAAUAUUAAAUGUGCUCAUGUGGAUGCAGGACGUCUCUUUACAGGUUUUGCCUGCAGAAGAUGAAAUCUGGACUGUGGAGGAGUUUUUGGAGAAAAGCGAAGAUGCUUGCAGACGCGCUGCUAUUGAAUUGAACCGCAAAAGUCAAAUGGUGUCGGAGGCAGUGGAGGAAGUUUUAAAUUUGGUUGAUAAGGCGACUGAGACAUUCAAGCAAAUCGCCGGCGAUGAUAUAGUUACUUUGUUUGAUGCUACUUCACGAAAUCAGACGCAACCAUCAUCGGCCCGAAAGGGAGAGGCAGAAGGCGGUGGAGCUGUUCCAAGUGCUGCCGGUGCUGGUGGGAACGGUGUCGGUGGUGGUACUGUGGGUACCCAGCAGCAAGAUUGGAGUAUAUUAUGGUCAUGCUUUGAGAAUCCCUUAACUCUUCUUUCGACCACGGAGAGUCUUCCUAAGGGAAUGCAAGAUAUGGUCUGUAAUGCAGUGGUGGAAAUGCGACGAUACUANAGUCGAAAGGUAAUUGAUGUGCUGAUUAAGGUAAUACGUGGUGCGUUAGAUACUAUUAGGCGUCGGUUUAUUGACGAUGAGAAUGAGACCAUAUUGAAAAAGCCGAUAUUCGCACUAAAUGCGCAGUUGCAGAUCCCAAAUGUGGUGAUCAAACCGAACCUUGAUGAGUUGCAAGAGAUACUGACAACCGCUGGUAAAAAUAUCACCGGCAUUGCCAAAGGCGUGGCACAGUGGACUAGCGGCAAAGANCCGCAAGUAUCAACAACGCCUCAGCCGCGAAUUGGACGAAAUCAUAAUACCGGAAAUCGUGCACGUCGUCGCAAACUAUACACUCUGGCCUCAGAGGAACGUCCACAAAUGCCUCACAUGCUGAAGUCGUUUUAUGCCGCCAUCAUGGAUAAUAAAGAGGUGGUGAAGGCUCUAAAUUUGCUCUCAAAUUGUACAAAAAAUAUCAAACCCGAAAUACAAACCUACAUAAAACGUUGGAAACCAUACCAUUUCCUAUGGAAAAAUGAUCGUACAACUCGUCAAUUAAUGGAGUUUGGUUUGCAGGAAUUCGAAUCAACUUUACGGUGCUUGGCCGAGUUGGACGCCAAUUUGCUAGUAGAGCCUGAAAUGGAGGUGUUUGGUCAUUGUGUAUCCGUUUACAAUGAACGACUUAAAUAUGGAUUGGCCAUUGAGAUCAAAUCUUGUAAUCAUAAGAUCGGACAAGCUAUGAAGAAGAAAUACAAAAAAGAGAUGGACUACGUCUACGCGGUAAUCAAUGAAAUGGAUCGCAAGUUGGACAGGCCAAUACGUGACCUCGAUGACGUGCGCAUGAUAAUGGAAACCUUAAGUAAAAUAAGAGAGCAAGAAGUUGAUAUGGAGUUACGCAUUGAUCCAAUAGAAGAGGCAUUUAAUGUACUUACACGCUUUGAGGUGCAAGUGGAACGUGAACAAUUCGACUUGGUAGACAACUUACGGAGUACUUUUCAAAAUUUAUUGUCUUGUGCCCUUCAAGCUCAAGUGAAACUGCUUGAUAUGCAACCGUCCUUUCAGGAUGAUCUCAAGAACAAUUUAGAGAAAUUUAAACAAGAUAAAAUACAAUACGUUAACGAAUAUCGCAAUGCNGGUCCUAUGCAACCUGGGCUAACCCCACGUGAGGCCUCCGAUCGCUUAAUUUUAUUCCAAAAUCGUUUCGAGGGNAUGUGGCGUCGCCUGCAAACCUACCAGAAUGGUGAAGAAUUAUUUGGUUUACCACAAACUGACUACCCAGAAUUGGGUCAGAUACGAAAAGAAUUAAAUUUGUUGCAGAAACUCUAUAAACUGUAUAAUGAUGUCAUAGAUCGCGUGAGCAGUUAUUAUGAUAUACCAUGGAAUGAAGUGGACAUCGAAGAUAUCAACAACGAACUAAUGGAGUUCCAGAAUCGUUGCCGUAAACUUCCAAAAGGUUUGAAGGAGUGGCCGGCUUUCCAUGCACUCAAGAAAACCAUUGACGAUUUCAAUGAUAUGUGCCCAUUAUUAGAGUUGAUGGCUAAUAAGGCAAUGAAGCCUCGACAUUGGCAACGCAUCAUGGACGUUACCAAAUAUAUCUUCGAAUUCGAUUCGGAAGGAUUCUCAUUGAAGAAUAUAUUGGAGGCGCCUCUGCUUAAACACAAAGAGGAUAUUGAAGAUAUUUGUAUUAGUGCAAUGAAAGAGAAGGAUAUCGAGGCUAAGUUAAAGCAGGUCACAAACGAAUGGUCCGUACAUGAAUUACAAUUCAUGAGCUUCAACAACCGCGGUGAACUGUUAUUGCGCGGUGAUACGACUGCUGAAACAAUAGGUCAGCUAGAAGAUAGCUUAAUGGUGUUGGGGUCAUUGCUAUCCAAUCGCUACAACGCACCAUUUCGUAAACAAAUUCAACAAUGGGUCUAUGAUUUAUCCAACUCGAAUGAGAUUUUGGAACGUUGGUUAUUGGUGCAGAAUAUGUGGGUUUAUUUAGAGGCUGUNUUUGUUGGUGGUGACAUCGCUAAACAGCUUCCGAAAGAAGCCAAGAGAUUCUCUAAAAUCGACAAAUCCUGGCAAAAGAUAAUGCAACGUGCACAUGAGACUCCGGGUGUGGUUGCAUGUUGUGUCGGUGACGAUCUUCUUAAACAGCUGUUACCUCAUUUGCAGGAACAGUUGGAAAUAUGUCAGAAAUCACUGAGUGGCUAUUUGGAACGCAAACGAAUGAUGUUUCCACGUUUCUUUUUUGUUUCUGAUCCGGCACUCUUAGAGAUACUAGGCCAGGCUUCUGAUUCACAUACCAUACAAAAUCAUUUACUAUCCAUUUUCGAUAAUACGCGCAAAGUGAAAUUCCACGACAUUGAAUACAACAAGAUGUUGGCAAUAAUCUCAAGUGAGGGUGAGAUGAUACAAUUAGAUCGCGCGAUUCGUGCUGAGGGUUCCGUCGAGACAUGGCUAACUCAGUUGCUGGUCACCGCACAGCAGUCAUUGCAUUCGAUUAUCCGCACCGCUUAUGCAACAAUAAAUGAUCCAAAUUUCACCUUGUUGGGAUUUUUAGAGAAAGUCCCAGCACAAAUUGGUCUUUUGGGUAUCCAAAUGAUUUGGACACGCGACGCGGAAAUGGCGCUGAUGCAGGCCAGGCAUGAGAGGAAAGUCAUGUCGGAGACGAAUAAUAAGUUCCUUGAAAUUCUAAACACACUAAUUGAUCAAACCACAAGAAAUUUGACCAAAAUGGAGCGAACUAAUUUCGAAACCCUAAUUACCAUACAUGUACAUCAACGGGAUAUAUUCGAUAUAUUGUGCCGCAUGAAUAUUAAAUCAGCAAACGAUUUUGAGUGGUUAAAACAGUGUCGUUUUUACUUCAAAGAGGACUUGGACAAAACUUGGAUUUCAGUAACAGACGUAACCUUUACUUAUCAAAAUGAAUAUUUGGGCUGCACAGAUCGUUUGGUGAUCACGCCGUUAACAGAUCGUUGUUACAUCACACUCGCCCAGGCGCUAACACUGAGCAUGGGUGGCGCACCAUGUGGUCCGGCGGGUACCGGAAAAACGGAAACUGUAAAGGACAUGGGAAAGACGCUGGCUAAGUACGUGGUUGUAUUUAAUUGCUCCGACCAAAUGGAUUACAGGGGCCUCGGGCGUAUCUACAAGGGUUUGGCUCAGUCUGGCACAUGGGGCUGUUUUGAUGAGUUCAACCGCAUCGAACUUCCGGUCUUGUCGGUUGCAGCGCAACAAGUUGCAGUGGUAUUAACAGCCAAGAAGGAGAAAAAGAAAACAUUUAUAUUCACCGAUGGCGAUACGAUUGAGAUGAAUCCUGAGUUUGGCAUAUUUAUAACAAUGAAUCCUGGCUACGCUGGCAGAAAGGAAUUACCUGAAAAUUUGAAAAUACAAUUUCGUACUGUCGCGAUGAUGGUGCCAGACCGACAAAUAAUAAUACGCGUCAAGUUGGCGUCAUGUGGCUUUUUGGAGAAUAUUACACUGGCGAGAAAAUUUUACACACUUUAUAAACUGUGCGAGGAGCAGUUAACUAAACAGGUUCAUUAUGAUUUUGGUUUGAGAAACAUUUUAUCGGUACUACGUACUUUGGGUGCUGCCAAGCGGAGAAACUCGAAGGAUGGCGAGAGUACGAUUGUGAUGCGUGUCCUACGCGAUAUGAAUCUCUCGAAGUUGAUUGAUGAAGACGAACCGUUAUUCAUGUCGCUGGUGUCGGAUUUGUUUCCCAAUCAGACACUCGAAAAGACCAAUUACCCAGAACUUGAAGCAGCUAUUGCUCAGCAGACGGAAGAAGCAAAUUUGGUCUACCAUCCUCCAUGGGUUCUCAAAUUAAUACAACUAUACGAAACCCAAACCGUUCGACAUGGCAUUAUGACAUUGGGUCCCAGUGGUGCUGGUAAGACAACAUGCAUCCAUACACUAAUGAAGGCACUCACUCAAAUGGGUGACAAUCAUCGCGAGAUGCGUAUGAAUCCAAAGGCUAUAACGGCUGCUCAAAUGUUUGGCCGGUUAGAUGUGGCGACCAAUGACUGGACCGAUGGCAUAUUUUCGGCUUUGUGGCGCAAAACGCUCAAAUUAAAAAGUGGCGAACAUAUUUGGCUCGUGCUGGACGGUCCCGUAGAUAGUAUUUGGAUUGAAAAUUUGAACUCAGUUCUAGAUGAUAACAAGACAUUGACAUUGGCAAAUGGCGAUCGUCUUACUAUGGCACCAACUGUAAAAAUAAUUUUCGAACCGCACAAUAUUGACAACGCGUCACCGGCAACUGUGUCCCGGAAUGGAAUGGUGUACAUGAGUUCCUCAGGAUUAGAUUCCAGACCGAUUGUACAAGCUUGGCUAAAGAAUCGCGCACCUGGUGAAAAAUCAGUUUUUUGGGCCCUCUUCGAGCAAACUUUCAUUCAGGUUUACAACUGGGGCACACAAAACCUUAAGCUUUUGAUGUCGGUGCUGCAAUGCAAUAUAGUACGACAGAUGCUAUCGAUUUUACAGGGCUUGGUGCCGGUAAAGAAGGAGGAGGAGCAAGCUGUCAGCCUGUCAAGUAAAGAAACAAACGACGUAACAAAAGCGGGAAAACACAAAAUCAUAGCAAAGGUGAAUGAAAUUAACCAGGAGCGUCGAAACUCCGCCGCCAGCGGUGAUGGCGACGAGCUUCCCGAGGAACCGGCUGUAGAGGAGAAAGAAGAUACUUGUACACCCGAACAUUUGCAUCGACUAUAUAUCUUUGCACUAGCUUGGGGUCUCGGGGGAUAUCUCAAUGCCGCUGACCGCAUACGUCUGGAUUUAUAUAUUAAAGAAGCUUUCCCCCAGUUGGACUACGCGCAGGCGACUAGCACCGAAAGUAGUAUUUUCGAUUUCUUCGUUUCUGAGGCAGGCACGUGGCAGGCGUGGAAGACACUGGUCACUCCAUAUAUGUAUCCAGAGUUAUCUACGCCAGACUAUCUAAAUAUUCUAGUGCCCAUCAUUGAUAAUGUACGUAUGGAUUACCUAAUCGCUACCAUAGCGAAUCAGGAAAGUGCUGUAAUGCUGAUUGGCGAACAGGGUACUGGAAAGACGGUGAUAACAAAGAACUUUAUGAAGAAAAUGAACCCGGAGGCUUAUAUGGGUCGCUCUUUCAAUUUUUCAUCGGCCACCAGUCCAUACCAAUUUCAACGUACUAUCGAGAGUUAUGUGGAGAAACGUGUUGGGGUUACUUUUGGUCCUCCAGGAGGACGUAAAUUGAUUGUGUUUAUUGAUGAUGUCAAUUUGCCAGAGAUAAAUGAAUGGGGCGAUCAAGUGACGAAUGAAAUUGUUCGCCAAAGUAUGGAUAUGAAAGGCUUUUACAGUUUGGAGAAGCCUGGAGAUUUUACGACAGUAGUGGAUGUUCAAUAUGUAGCCGCAAUGGGUUUGCCAGGUGGUGGCCGUAACGACAUACCGUCGCGAUUAAAACGACAAUUUUGUGUGUUUAAUUGCAACAUUCCGGAUGAUGAGUCGAUUGAUAAAAUAUUUCGUGUAAUUGGUGAAGGGCAUUAUAAUGCCAAACGUGGGUUUACGUCGGAAGUACGUAGUUUAGUCAAGAAAUUAAUUGUUGUGACUCGUCAUUUGUGGCAGCGAACGCGUGAGAAACUUUUACCCACACCUGCCAAAUUUCAUUAUGUUUUUAGCUUACGUGACUUAUCGCGGAUAUGGCAAGGUAUGGUGGGGACUUUGUCAACUGUUAUAACAGCAGAUAGCGUGCUCAUGUCAUUGUGGAAACAUGAAUGCACACGGGUAUUUGCAGACCGUUUUACGACUUUUCAGGAUAAAGAGUGGUUUAGUUCGGAGUUAGCUUGUCUUGUGCGUGAGGAGCUUGGUGAAGCUUACUCGCAGAUGAUUAUUCCGAACCCGGUGUUUGUAGAUUUCAUGCGUGAUGCACCUGAACCAACGGGUGAGGAGGGAGAGGACGCUGAUAUGGAGUUACCCAAAGUUUACGAACCGGUGAAUUCUCAUGAAGUGCUCCGGGAGCGUCUCGUUAUGUUCCUCGCACAGUUUAAUGAAAUGGUACGAGGCUCUGGGAUGGAUCUGGUUUUCUUCCCUGAUGCUAUGCUGCAUUUGGUGAAGAUCUCUCGAAUCAUUCGGCAUCCGAGGGGAAACGUCAUGCUUGUCGGGGUCGGUGGAUCGGGAAAACAAUCAUUGACAAAAUUGGCAUCAUUUAUAGCUGGCUACAAAAUAUUCCAAAUUGCUUUGACACGGUCGUAUAAUGUAGCCAACUUUUUGGAGGACUUAAAAUUAUUAUAUCGCACCUGUGGUGUUCAAGGCAAAGGAACAACGUUUUUAUUUACUGAUAUGGACAUAAAAGAAGAGGGAUUCCUUGAAUACCUCAACAAUAUAUUAUCAUCUGGUGUGAUAUCAAAUCUAUUUUCUCGAGACGAACAAUCUGAAAUUGUACAAGAAUUGACUCCGGUUAUGAAACGAGAAAAUCAGCGAAAAACAGCGACCCCGGAAAGUGUGAUGGAGUUUUUCUUGGCCCGCACAUGCGCCAAUCUUCAUGUGGCUUUUUGUUUCUCGCCAGUUGGUGAAACAUUCCGAUCGAGGGUGCAACGUUUUCCGGCAUUGGUGUCCGGAUGCACUAUCGAUUGGUUCCAGCCNUGGCCAAAGGAUGCACUCGUCUCGGUGGCAAGACACUUUCUGAGUGACUUUGAAAUUGAGUGUACACCGGCAGUGAAGGAAGAGUUGGUCAACGCGCUCGGUUCUAUUCAAGAUAUUGUCGCGGAAACAUCGUUAGAAUAUUUCCAGCGCUUUAGACGAGCAACACACGUGACACCGAAGUCAUAUUUGAAUUUCAUUGCUGGUUACAAAAAUAUAUAUCAGCAAACACAGAAAGAAUUACGAGAUGGUGCAGAAAAAAUGGACACUGGAUUAGAGAAGUUAAAGGAAGCCUCCGCUUCAGUUGAAAUACUAAAAAAGGACUUGGUGGUAAUGGAGGAGGAGUUGGUGGAGGCCUCCAAAAAUGCCGAAUCUGUGUUGGUGGAAGUUACCGACAGAGCAAUGCAAGCCGAAAUUGUAAAAAAUCAAGUUCUUAUUGUAAAAGACAAAGCCGAGGCAUUAGUUGCAUGCAUUGCAAAAGAAAAAGCACUAGCCGAGGAAAAGUUAGAGGCUGCCAAGCCGGCGCUAGAAGAGGCCGAAAUGGCAUUGAAUACAAUAAAGCCAGCGCACAUUGCAACAGUACGCAAGUUGGGUCGACCGCCACAUUUAAUUAUGAGAAUUAUGGAUUGUGUCCUGAUUUUAUUCAAAAGAAAAUUACAUCCUUGUAUACCGGACUCUGGAACACCAUGUCCGAAGCCAUCUUGGCAAGAAUCCUUAAAGAUGAUGGCCAGCGCAACGUUUCUGCUACAAUUACAAAAUUAUCCAAAGGAUACAAUAAAUGAUGAAAUGAUCGAUUUACUUCAACCGUACUUUCGCAUGGACGACUAUAAUAUGGACAUGGCAAGGCGAGUUUGCGGAGACGUUGCUGGAUUGUUGUCUUGGACCAAAGCUAUGUCAUUCUUCCACAGUGUUAACAAAGAAGUGCUACCACUAAAGACAAAUCUCACUUUGCAGGAGGCGCGAUUAAAGUUAGCCAUGGAUGACUUGGCUGGCGCUGAAGAACAGUUAAGGGAGCGUGAAGAAGCACUUCAGGCCGUCAAAAAUCAGUACGAUAAAGCCGUUGGUGAGAAACAAAGACUCACAGAUGCUGCCAAUGUGUGUCUACGAAAAAUGACUGCAGCUACAGCAUUAAUAAAUGGGCUUUCAGAUGAAAAGCAUCGCUGGACAAAUCAGAGCAAAGAGUUUAAAAUACAACUUGGCAAGCUGGUUGGUGACGUUUUGCUAGCGACAGGCUUUCUUUCAUAUUGCGGUCCAUAUAAUCAGGAGUUUCGUGCAAAUUUAAUUAGAACAUGGAUGGGCAUUCUAAAACAAAAACAUAUUCCAUUCACGACGGGUUUGAACAUUAUUAAUAUGCUCGUUGAUUCAUCCACAGUGUCAGAAUGGACUUUGCAGGGGCUACCAAAUGAUGAGUUGUCGGUACAGAAUGCCUUGAUUGCUACAAAAUCAAGCAGUUAUCCACUAUUGGUAGAUCCCCAGACACAGGGAAAACUUUGGAUAAAAUCAAAAGAGGGUGAAAACGAAUUACAGAUUACAUCCUUAAAUCACAAGUAUUUCAGAACACAUUUAGAAGACUCUUUGUCGCUUGGACGACCAUUGUUAAUUGAGGACGUCGGCACCGAGCUGGAUCCAGUGCUCGACAAUGUGUUGGAGAAGAACUUCAUCAAGUCGGGUAGCAUAGAGAAAGUAUUGGUGGGCGACAAGGAGUGUGAUGUAAUGCCAGGUUUUAUGUUAUAUAUAACUACGAAAUUACCAAAUCCCGCGUUUAGUCCGGAGAUAAGCGCUAAAACAUCCAUCAUUGACUUUACUGUCACAAUGCGAGGCCUCGAGGAUCAACUUUUAGGAAGAGUGAUUCUUAUGGAGAAAUCAGAUUUGGAAGCUGAACGAGUCGCUCUCUUCGAAACCGUUAUGACAAAUCAACGCAAAAUGAAGGAAUUAGAGGCAAAUUUGUUAUAUCGUCUUAGUUCUUCACAAGGAUCUUUGGUUGAUGACGAAGCUUUAAUUGAGGUACUACGAGUCACAAAAACAACAUCCGAGGAAGUGAAUCAAAAAUUGAAAAUUUCCGAAAUAACUGAACGAAAGAUUAUGAAGGCUCGGGAAGAGUUCCGUGCCGUGGCCGCCCGCGGCUCAGUACUUUAUUUUUUGAUUGUUGAGAUGAGUAAUGUGAAUGUCAUGUAUCAAAAUUCUUUGAAACAAUUUUUGGUUAUUUUCAAUAAUUCAAUCACCAAAUCCACGAAAUCGAAUGUAACUGAGGAACGGAUAAUUAUUAUUUUACGCUAUCUGACCUAUGAGGUCUACAAGUUUACAAAUCGCAGCUUAUAUGAACGUCAUAAGCAGUUGUUCACCCUAAUGCUGGCCAUUAAAAUCGACUACCACAACGGCAAUGUGACUCAUGAGGAAUUUAUGUCGUUUGUUAAAGGUGGUGCUUCCCUUGACCUAAAUGCUGUCACGCCAAAACCAUUCCGCUGGAUCUUGGAUAUCACAUGGUUGAAUUUAGUGGAAAUAAGCAAGUUGGAAACAUUUUCAAAUGUUCUGACACUAAUUGAGUUAAACGAAAAGGAAUGGCGUGUUUGGUAUGAAGCUGAGAAGCCGGAGAAUGAGGAAAUUCCAUGUGGCUAUCAGAUCUCUUUAGAUGGCUUUCGAAAGUUAUUAUUGGUGCGUUCUUGGUGCCCGGAUCGUACGAUUUCACAAGCGAAAAAGUAUAUAGAGGAGUCUUUGGGCUCUGAGUACAGCGAGAUGCAGAUUUUAGAUCUUGAAGUGACUUGGGCAGAAUCAGAACCACGCACGCCGUUCGUUUGUCUGCUAUCUAUUGGAUCCGAUCCUACGACACAAAUUGCCGCAUUGGCCAAACAAAAAGGCAUACCUUUGAAAUCGGUUUCAAUGGGGCAGGGGCAAGAAUUCCACGCACGCAAAAUGAUAAUGGACUCAAUGUCCGGCGGUGGCUGGGUGUUAUUGCAGAAUGUUCAUCUCUCCCUGCCUUUCUGCGCGGAAGUCAUUGAUAUGCUCGUAGAGACGGAACACAUCGAUGAUACGUUCCGAAUGUGGGUGACCACAGAACCGCAUGCAGAUUUUCCAAUCGGCUUACUUCAAAUGGCCAUAAAAUUCACCAAUGAGCCACCGCAAGGCAUACGAGCCAGUCUAAAGCGCAGCUAUCAGGCUUUCACUCAGGACUUUCUCGAUUACACCGCUGCGUCACAAUGGCCACCAUUGCUAUAUACUGUAGCCUUUUUGCACACAAUCGUUCAAGAACGGAGGAAAUUUGGUCCGCUUGGUUGGAAUGUACCAUAUGAGUUUAAUCAGGCAGACUUUGCAGCGAGCGUGCAGUUCAUACAGAAUCACUUGGAUGAGAUGGAUCCAAAGAAGGGAGUCUCAUGGCAAACGCUUGUCUACAUGAUUGGAGAGGUUCAAUAUGGCGGGCGUGUGACUGAUGAUUUUGAUAAGAGACUGCUGACCACUUUUACCGCGGUGUGGUUUUGUGAGGGGCUUUUAAGUAACUCAUUCGAAUUCUACAAAGGAUACAAAGUGCCGAAUACGAAGAGUUUGCAAGGAUUCGUCGAUUAUAUAAACAGCUUGCCUGCUUAUGAUACGCCAGAGGUGUUUGGCUUGCAUUCCAAUGCUGACAUCACGUAUCAAAUUAAUUCAGCCAAAGGUAUUUUGGACACCAUACUGAGCGUGCAGCCAAAAGANGGAGGCGGGGGUGGUGGGGAGACACGCGAGAGCAUUGUAUAUCAGCUGGCCGACGACAUGCUGCGAAAGCUUCCGCCUCAGUAUAACGCCUACGAAGUGCGUGAGAACCUACUUCGCAUGGGAAUUCUUCUACCGAUGAACAUCUUUCUCAGGCAAGAAAUUGAUCGCAUGCAGAAAGUGAUUAAGAAAGUAUACACAUGCUUGUGCGACCUGAAAUUGGCGAUUGAUGGCACAAUUGUGAUGAGUCCAGCCCUGAAGGAGUCCUUGGAUGCUAUGUAUGAUGCACGCAUACCGGAAUCUUGGAUGAAGGUUAAAAAUACAAACAUACUUUCUAUCCAAUUGUGUACAUGCCAUAAGAAAUGUAUACGAAUAUAUCUUGGGAAUCGACAACUCUAGGCUUCUGGUACACGGAGCUAUUGGAACGAAAUGCUCAAUUCCGCACUUGGAUAUCAACAGAUAGACCGAAAGUAUUUUGGAUGACGGGCUUCUUUAAUCCCCAAGGCUUUUUAACAGCUAUGCGACAG